GGGAGCUUGCUCCCUGAUGUUAGCGGCGGACGGGUGAGUAACACGUGGGUAACCUGCCUGUAAGACUGGGAUAACUCCGGGAAACCGGGGCUAAUACCGGAUGGUUGUUUGAACCGCAUGGUUCAGACAUAAAAGGUGGCUUCGGCUACCACUUACAGAUGGACCCGCGGCGCAUUAGCUAGUUGGUGAGGUAACGGCUCACCAAGGCGACGAUGCGUAGCCGACCUGAGAGGGUGAUCGGCCACACUGGGACUGAGACACGGCCCAGACUCCUACGGGAGGCAGCAGUAGGGAAUCUUCCGCAAUGGACGAAAGUCUGACGGAGCAACGCCGCGUGAGUGAUGAAGGUUUUCGGAUCGUAAAGCUCUGUUGUUAGGGAAGAACAAGUGCCGUUCAAAUAGGGCGGCACCUUGACGGUACCUAACCAGAAAGCCACGGCUAACUACGUGCCAGCAGCCGCGGUAAUACGUAGGUGGCAAGCGUUGUCCGGAAUUAUUGGGCGUAAAGGGCUCGCAGGCGGUUUCUUAAGUCUGAUGUGAAAGCCCCCGGCUCAACCGGGGAGGGUCAUUGGAAACUGGGGAACUUGAGUGCAGAAGAGGAGAGUGGAAUUCCACGUGUAGCGGUGAAAUGCGUAGAGAUGUGGAGGAACACCAGUGGCGAAGGCGACUCUCUGGUCUGUAACUGACGCUGAGGAGCGAAAGCGUGGGGAGCGAACAGGAUUAGAUACCCUGGUAGUCCACGCCGUAAACGAUGAGUGCUAAGUGUUAGGGGGUUUCCGCCCCUUAGUGCUGCAGCUAACGCAUUAAGCACUCCGCCUGGGGAGUACGGUCGCAAGACUGAAACUCAAAGGAAUUGACGGGGGCCCGCACAAGCGGUGGAGCAUGUGGUUUAAUUCGAAGCAACGCGAAGAACCUUACCAGGUCUUGACAUCCUCUGACAAUCCUAGAGAUAGGACGUCCCCUUCGGGGGCAGAGUGACAGGUGGUGCAUGGUUGUCGUCAGCUCGUGUCGUGAGAUGUUGGGUUAAGUCCCGCAACGAGCGCAACCCUUGAUCUUAGUUGCCAGCAUUCAGUUGGGCACUCUAAGGUGACUGCCGGUGACAAACCGGAGGAAGGUGGGGAUGACGUCAAAUCAUCAUGCCCCUUAUGACCUGGGCUACACACGUGCUACAAUGGACAGAACAAAGGGCAGCGAAACCGCGAGGUUAAGCCAAUCCCACAAAUCUGUUCUCAGUUCGGAUCGCAGUCUGCAACUCGACUGCGUGAAGC
rnacentral:rRNA from 1 species